rnacentral:rRNA from 1 species
GACGAACGCUGGCGGCGUGCUUAACACAUGCAAGUCGAACGGAAAGGCCCUGCUUUUGUGGGGUGCUCGAGUGGCGAACGGGUGAGUAACACGUGAGUAACCUGCCCUUGACUUUGGGAUAACUUCAGGAAACUGGGGCUAAUACCGGAUAGGAGCUCCUGCUGCAUGGUGGGGGUUGGAAAGUUUCGGCGGUUGGGGAUGGACGCGCGGCUUAUCAGCUUGUUGGUGGGGUAGUGGCUUACCAAGGCUUUGACGGGUAGCCGGCCUGAGAGGGUGACCGGCCACAUGGGGACUGAGAUACGGCCCAGACUCCUACGGGAGGCAGCAGUGGGGAAUAUUGCACAAUGGGCGGAAGCCUGAGGCAGCAACGCCGCGUGCGGGAUGACGGCCUUCGGGUUGUAAACCGCUUUCGCCUGUGACGAAGCGUGAGUGACGGUAAUGGGUAAAGAAGCACCGGCUAACUACGUG